rnacentral:rRNA from 1 species
AAUAGAUACCCAGGUAGUCCACGCCGUAAACGAUGAGUGCUAAGUGUUAGGGGGUUUCCGCCCCUUAGUGCUGCAGCUAACGCAUUAAGCACUCCGCCUGGGGAGUACGGUCGCAAGACUGAAACUCAAAGGAAUUGACGGGGGGCCCGCACAAGCGGUGGAGCAUGUGGUUUAAUUCGAAGCAACACGAAGAACCUUACCAGGUCUUGACAUCCCAUUGACCGCUAUGGAGACAUAGUUUUCCCUUCGGGGACAGUGGUGACAGGUGGUGCAUGGUUGUCGUCAGCUCGUGUCGUGAGAUGUUGGGUUAAGUCCCGCAACGAGCGCAACCCUUGUUCUUAGUUGCCAUCAUUUAGUUGGGCACUCUAAGGAGACUGCCGGUGACAAACCGGAGGAAGGUGGGGAUGACGUCAAAUCAUCAUGCCCCUUAUGACCUGGGCUACACACGUGCUACAAUGGACGGUACAAACGGUUGCCAACCCGCGAGGGGGAGCUAAUCCGAUAAAACCGUUCUCAGUUCGGAUUGUAGGCUGCAACUCGCCUAC